ensembl:lncRNA
CUUCACCGUCAGUAUCUAUUGCGCGAACAAUGACGCAGACAAUUGGACUUGAUAACCACAAAGAUUCACUUCAUAUGUUUGUAAAUUUAUUAAAAAUGUUAAAUUGCAUCUUCGGAACAUGACAUCCAGCCCAAUUUCUGGCAUCAGUAGGCACACAACAGCUGCAGCACGACCAGAAGGGGCUUAAAACAUGUCACCCCUUGAAUCAUUCACUGGAAUAACUUCACCAACUUUCAUUUUGCAUCUUAUUCAAAUGCAGAAUGUGUUGCAUAAAGAGCAUGUGAACUUAACUGAAAACCAGACUGAAUUUUUCUCAACAGUAAAUGAGCAUUCACAAACGACACAAUCAAACUUUCCUUCUGACGAAAUGUCCAGUUCAUGCGCAACAGAAGAUGUACAAAAACACCUUGGGCGGACUGCGCAGUCUGCUGUUACUGGGAAAAAGUUCUCUCCUAUUGUCCACACGGAUUUGAGUUUCUCAAGUACAGAGACACAAUCGCUCCCCAGAGGUUCAUUACAGUCCAGGGAAGGGAGUGAAGAUAUUUCACAUGACACCACUCCAUUUGCUGAAAGUGACUCAGGGGUAUCUGCUGGGUUUGUAUCAGACCUGCCAGUGAUAAACAGGAAGAGGAGGAUUAUAUCACCCGAUUCUCUCAGCGGACUGGCGCAAAUCUCAGAUGAUAUCUUCGGCACUGGCAACUACACAGCAGAGAUGAGUCUGAACUUGGAGAGAGAUAUCAUGCCUGGAGAUCUCAUCCCUGCCCUCGGAAACCUAUGUGUCGUCAUCAUCCUCAAAACAAAUAACAGCCAGGUGAACCUAGAGAUAAAAUCCUGCUGCCUCUCGCCCACCGUCAGACUUGGUGAAUUUAACACCACCUGCUGCAUUUUUUCCAGCAGUGCGUUCAGAGUCGAAUUGCACAUCUCAGAGAGGAAGCAGGGGCCAUCUUCAGCAGCACAGGACACCGUUCUUUCGGCCCUGUUCUGAAAGAAGCAGACAAUUCAUCAUUCCCUGAAACAGCAGGUAACUUAUUACCAAGUUGUUCUGGUGGAAUAAUAAAACAAACUAAUGGAAAAAUAUUUCA